rnacentral:rRNA from 1 species
UACGUAGGUGGCAAGCGUUGUCCGGAAUUACUGGGUGUAAAGGGAGCGCAGGCGGGAAGCCAAGUCAGCUGUGAAAACUACGGGCUUAACUUGUAGACUGCAGUUGAAACUGGUUUUCUUGAGUGAAGUAGAGGUUGGCGGAAUUCCGAGUGUAGCGGUGAAAUGCGUAGAUAUUCGGAGGAACACCGGUGGCGAAGGCGGCUUGCUGGACUGUAAAUGACGCUGAGGCUCGAAAGCGUGGGGAGCAAACAGG